UACGUAGGGGGGCUAGCGUUGUCCGGAAUCAUUGGGCGUAAAGCGCGUGUAGGCGGUCCGGUAAGUCCGCUGUGAAAGUCGGGGGGCUCAACCCUGGGAUGCCGGGUGGAUACUGUCGGACUAGAGUACGGAAGAGGCGAGUGGAAUUCCCGGUGUAGCGGUGAAAUGCGCAGAUAUCGGGGAGGAACACCAAUUGCGAAGGCAGCUCGCUGGGACGUCGACUGACACUGAGGCACGAAAAGCGUGGGGAGCGAACCG
rnacentral:rRNA from 1 species